rnacentral:miRNA from 1 species
GACGUCGAUAUUCGACGUCAUAAACAGGAUCAACUUUGGUGUUUAUGACGUCGAUACAUAAACACGAUCAACUUUGGUGUUUAUAACGUCGAUAUUCGACUUCGUAAACGCGAUCAACUUUGGUGUUUAUGACGUUGAUAUUCGACCACAUAAACACGAUCAACUUUGGUGUUUAUGACGUCGACGUUAUUAACACGAUCAACUUUGUUGUUUAUGACGUCGAUAUUCGACGUC